rnacentral:rRNA from 1 species
UACGUAGGGGGCAAGCGUUGUCCGGAAUCAUUGGGCGUAAAGAGCGUGUAGGCGGUCCGGUCAGUCGGUUGUGAAAGUCAAGGGCUCAACCCUUGAAUGCCGGCCGAUACUGCCGGGCUAGAGUCCGGAAGAGGUGAGUGGAAUUCCUGGUGUAGCGGUGAAAUGCGCAGAUAUCUGGAGGAACACCGGUGGCGAAGGCGGCAUCCUGGACCGGUAUUGACGCUGAGGCGCGAAAGCCAGGGGAGCAAACGGG